rnacentral:rRNA from 1 species
AUUGAACGCUGGCGGCAUGCCUUACACAUGCGAGUCGAACGGCAGCACGGGGCAACCUGGUGGCGAGUGGCGAACGGGUGAGUAAUGCAUCGGAACGUACCUUUCAGUGGGGGAUAACGUAGCGAAAGUUACGCUAAUACCGCAUAUUCUGUGAGCAAGAAAGCAGGGGAUCGCAAGACCUUGCGCUGAUUGAGCGGCCGAUGUCAGAUUAGCUAGUUGGUGAGGUAAAGGCUCACCAAGGCGACGAUCUGUAGCGGGUCUGAGAGGAUGAUCCGCCACACUGGAACUGAGACACGGUCCAGACUCCUACGGGAGGCAGCAGUGGGGAAUUUUGGACAAUGGGGGCAACCCUGAUCCAGCCAUGCCGCGUGAGUGAAGAAGGCCUUCGGGUUGUAAAGCUCUUUCGGCCGGGAAGAAAUCGCACGGGCUAAUACCCUGUGUGGAUGACGGUACCGGAAUAAGAAGCACCGGCUAACUACGUGCCAGCAGCCGCCGUAAUAC